rnacentral:rRNA from 1 species
AACGAAUGCUGGCGGCAUGCCUAACACAUGCAAGUCGAACGAGACCUUCGGGUCUAGUGGCGCACGGGUGCGUAACGCGUGGGAAUCUGCCCUUGGGUUCGGAAUAACAGCGAGAAAUUGCUGCUAAUACCGGAUGAUGACGUAAGUCCAAAGAUUUAUCGCCCAAGGAUGAGCCCGCGUAGGAUUAGCUAGUUGGUGAGGUAAAGGCUCACCAAGGCGACGAUCCUUAGCUGGUCUGAGAGGAUGAUCAGCCACACUGGGACUGAGACACGGCCCAGACUCCUACGGGAGGCAGCAGUGGGGAAUAUUGGACAAUGGGCGAAAGCCUGAUCCAGCAAUGCCGCGUGAGUGAUGAAGGCCUUAGGGUUGUAAAGCUCUUUUACCCGGGAUGAUAAUGACAGUACCGGGAGAAUAAGCUCCGGCUAACUCCGUGCCAGCAGCCGCGGUAAU